AUCUGAUUCCACACUGCCAAGAAAAGCCUCUAUCGAGUGAAUAGGUGCCCGUACCGCAAACCGACACAGGUAGGUGAGGAGAGAAUCCUAAGGCCAUCGGAAGAAUUGCUGUUAAGGAACUCGGCAAAUUGACCCCGUAACUUCGGGAGAAGGGGUGCCUACGAAAGUAGGCCGCAGAGAAUAGGCCCAAGCAACUGUUUAGCAAAAACACAGGUCUCUGCUAAAGCGAAAGCUGAUGUAUAGGGGCUGACGCCUGCCCGGUGCUGGAAGGUUAAGGGGAACACUUAGCGUAAGCGAAGGUGUGAACUUAAGCCCCAGUAAACGGCGGCCGUAACUAUAACGGUCCUAAGGUAGCGAAAUUCCUUGUCGGGUAAGUUCCGACCCGCACGAAUGGCGUAAUGAUUUGGGCACUGUCUCAACAGCAAAUCCGGCGAAAUUGUAGUGCAAGUGAAGAUGCUUGCUACCCGCGAUUGGACGGAAAGACCCCGUAGAGCUUUACUGUAGCUUAGCAUUGAAUCUCGGUAUUGUCUGUACAGGAUAGGUGGGAGACUUGGAA
rnacentral:rRNA from 1 species